UGCCCGGGGGGCUGUGCCCGGGGGUCCCGCCGCUUGGCACAGCUCGUGAGGCGCCGGCGCGGUGCAGCACCGCGGGCGCUGGGACCACGAGCAGUUAGUUCCCCGCCGCGGGCCCCGCGUCCCCGGGGCCGGAGCCGCGCUGCGGCAGCCUCGGUACCGCAGCAGGGCGAGCACCGGAGCUGCCGCGCAGAGCUCGGUGCUGCCCGCGCACCAGCCCCGUCUGCAAAGGCCACGGCCUGCUCCCCUUCCCCGUGAGCUCGCCUGAACUCGCCCUGAAUGUCUCUUUGGGGAUCGUACAGGAGUGCUUCUCCUCAAAGCGUUCUCGAUCUGGACUAAAACGUCAUUUCGUUUCGCAUCUGCCUGCCGGUGGCAUCAGCCAUCAGCAGCACGGCUGGAAAGGAGAGAACGGAGCGUGUUCCCGGAGCCCAGCCGGGAGGUGCAGCUCCCUGCCCGGCCCCGCGGGGCAGCAGGCGCUGCCCUGCCCAGCGGCUUCCUCGCCGCAGCAGCUGCGCUGCGGGAGCAGGUCUUCUUCCAGGGAAAGGAAGGAUGGAUGUGUUCCUGCACCAGGAGCCAUGUGUGCUCUAACACAGAAGGAGCUGACGCCUGAGUGAUAAAUGUGCCCUGUGGUUCGUGGGCAGGAACAGUGCGUGUGAUAUAAGAACAGCCUGAGCUCUGCACUGAAAGGCGAAGGCGCUCCAAACUCAGCACUGCCUUGGGCUUCAGAAGUCUGCACUGCUGUGUUCUGCCUGGCUCCCUUAGUGAAGGUUGAAAGGUGUCUCUCAGUCACCCUGACCCCUGGGGUGCAGCAGCACUCCAGGUGCAGGAGGCUAGGAGCACUCACAGCUGUGUCCUAUAGUCAAAAGCUUGUGCUUGGUAAGAUCCUGCACUAAACAUGCUGUGUCCUUACACCUGGAUCUCCUGUCCCUUCCUUGACUUCAUGCAUAUUCAGGCAGGCAGGCUGAGGAAGCCCAGGCUGAGCUGUCUGAUGCACCCUGUCCCAAAAUCUUUCUUCCCAUUUUGUCCAAGGCUGUAAAAAGGAAUGUGCCUGGCACAAUCCAGAUAAAGUAGCCCAAAGUGGGGCUGUUCCACAGGUUUCUGUGCAGAGAUCUUGUAUGUAGAAGGAGAAGCUGUGCUGCUCAGAUAAGGACACCCAGACCAGUUCAUGAUCUCUCAAGUAGCCUCAGUGCACAUGGCCCAGCCCAGGCCACCAGACCUGGUACUGUGGAGAAGGCAGAAACAAUUGCUGAGCAGCUCUGCAGAAGCUACCUCGGAUCUGGCAAGACCAGCAGUGAACUACAGGAAUUAAUUACCAGCUGGUGCAGGCUGGGUCUCGUGGAGGCACUGAAAUGAUCCCUUGAUCCCACUCCCUGCUCCUACACGCAGCUGGCACGCUGGGCACCCCGAGUCACAGGCUUGAAAGAUCCAGGGCAUAAGCUGUUCACUCACUACCAAAGAUGAUGAAGAAAAAAGCAAGUCUUACUCAGAAUGAACUUUUCUGCAGCUGCCCUACAAGAAUCUGAUACCCAGCACCAGAAUGCUGACAGUGAGAAUGGAUGAACAGGGAAUAUCCACUGUCCUUCUUCACUCUAUGUGAGAAAAAACACAUUGCAUCAACAAAAGCAGAAGAAAACAAUGGGUGACUGUGAACAGGUUGCCCAGGGAGGCUGUGGCUGCCCCAUCCCUGAAAGUGUUCAAGACCAGGUUGGAUGGAGCUUGGAGCAACCUGGUCUGCUGGGAGGUGUCCCUGCCUAUCAAGGGGGUUGGAUCUAGAUGAUCUGGAAGGUCCGUUCCAACCCAAACCAUUCCAUGAUUCUGUGAUUAUUCAGUGCCUGGAGACAAAAACAUGGUUUUCUUGAGCAGAGCACCCAGAGAAGAAGUUUGUUUGGCCCUGGAUUGUCAGUACAGGAAUUACACCGAACAGGAAAAAUAAGAAAAUAUUCAAAGCUAUGGUUAUCAAACUCAAACCACAGUAACAUUGACAUGUAUCAGAAAAGUUCCCUUGAUACUCAGUAUGAAUUCUUCCUUUUUUUAUUCCAAUAUUUUCCAGGUCUACACCUCUAUUAUUUUAAAAGUCUAAAAAUAUAGGAAAAAGUAAGUCUUAUGUUCUUUUUAUUUUCAACGGUGUUUGUCAGAGAUAGCUUUAGAACAAGCUAACAUUACUGUGGUUCAGGUGUAUGCAACUGGUACAGUUCAGUAGUACAUGGACAACUCUAAAACAAAUGCACCAUAGAACUUAAAUUACCAAAAAUAAACAAUAUUAAACUAUGCAGGGCAGUAGGUAAAAACAACUACCUUUAGGUCUUGCACGCUAAAAGAAAAAAUACCUAGUUAUUAUUGAAAUUAUGAAGAUCUAUUACAGAUUAUUGAUAUAAUACAAAAAAAAAAAAACUUGAGAAGUUGUUGUCACAUUUUGGUUUUGUUCCAGUGAUAUACAGUCACAUGAAAUCUUACAUCAGUUUUUCAUGAAAUUAACAUCUGGCUACUUUAACUACAACAUUUCGUGAGUUUAUAACAGUUUUGGUGUUUUGUUUUUAAUUUUUGAAAAAGUUGCAUGUAAAAACAUGUACAAUAAAAUAAUGUUGUGUAAA